rnacentral:rRNA from 1 species
GUCGAGAAUCUUUCACAAUGGGGGCAACCCUGAUGGAGCGACGCCGCGUGGAGGAUAGGGUCUUCGGAUUGUAAACUCCUGUCAUGCGUGAACAAGGUUGCUUGGUUAAUACCUGGGCAAAUUGAUGGUAACGCAAGAGGAAGAGACGGCUAACUCUGUGCCAGCAGCCGCGGUAAUACAGAGGUCUCAAGCGUUGUUCGGAAUCACUGGGCGUAAAGGGUGCGUAGGUGGCGUGGUAAGUCAGAUGUGAAAGCCCGGGGCUCAACCUCGGAACUGCAUCCGAUACUGCCAUGCUAGAGUACUGGAGAGGUGACUAGAAUUCUCGGUGUAGCAGUGAAAUGCGUAGAUAUCGAGAGGAAUACCAAAGGCGUAGGCAGGUCACUGGACAGUUACUGACACUGAGGCACGAAGGCCAGGGGAGCGAACGGGAUUAGAAACCCCUGUAGUCC